AACUAUAUCCUAAUCAAACCGUGAAAAAACUUUAAAACAUUUUAGAAAACCUUCACUCUCUCCUCAGGAAACCUCUGACAUCCUUGAAUCCCACCGGACGGUAAGAAUUCCGAUGCCGGGUUUAGCCGGGUAUUACAAUCUACCCCCCUUACAAAAACAUUCGUCCUCGAAUGUUAAAAACAACAAAGAAACCAUCAAGACCUCAACCUAUUCCUGAAUUCCACAGCUUUCGCUGCGCUACUCUGAUCCUUAUUCCUCUUUCUCCUUAUCUUUUUCUAACUUUCACUUUCUAACUCUCAAUAGGUGAUACUCAAAUCUCUGAUCCUAUCAAAAUAAUAAUCAAUUCUUUUAUCAAAUCAGCUAGUAGAUCAUCAUUCUUACCUAAACUAAUCUCUU
rnacentral:lncRNA from 1 species